GUGCUCGCUUCAGCAGCACAUAUACUAAAAUUGGAAAGAUACAGAGAUUAGCGUGGCCCCUGCGCAAGGAUGACAGGCAAAUUCGUGAAGCAUUU
rnacentral:snRNA from 1 species